rnacentral:ncRNA from 1 species
UGUAGUAUCCGUCUCGAUGGUUCCCCCAAGGGGGUGAAAAUGGGAACAGGGUGCGGACGCUGAUUCAACGUCUUGUCCAAUGCCCUGGCUGUCCCCGCAACUGUAGGCGGAAAGUCCGCGCUUAGGCGAUUUCUGUCGAGAAACAGACCACCUGACUCGUCUUUUCGUUCGGCCUCGACGUUGCAGCAAUCCGCCCAUGGAUCGACCCUGGGCAGGUUGCCGCUGCGCGAAGGCGAACGAAAACCCGGCGCCGGUUGCUGUGUUUCUCUCCGACAAUCGCCUGAUCCGAUGCCACUGAUCCCAUGCCGGGAUCGGGAAGGCCAAGCGCUGGGCGACGACCCGCGAGCCAGGAGACCUGCCAUCAUCUGCAUCGCCUA